rnacentral:rRNA from 1 species
UACGUAGGGUGCAAGCGUUAAUCGGAAUUACUGGGCGUAAAGCGUGCGCAGGCGGUUAUGUAAGACAGAGGUGAAAUCCCCGGGCUCAACCUGGGAACUGCCUUUGUGACUGCAUAGCUAGAGUACGGUAGAGGGGGAUGGAAUUCCGCGUGUAGCAGUGAAAUGCGUAGAUAUGCGGAGGAACACCGAUGGCGAAGGCAAUCCCCUGGACCUGUACUGACGCUCAUGCACGAAAGCGUGGGGAGCAAACAGG